CGCUCAUUUAAGUUAGCUCUUGCUUGCUAAAUAAUUAGCCAGCCCUCGCGUUAAUAUUUAGCUGCCCAGCAGAAGCAAUCUACAGGAGAAUCAAGUCGUCGUUAGCAUAGUGCUUAACAAAUAUUUCAAGCUGUGUAAUGUUGGGUGUGGAGCUGCCCUGGCGCCUUGCCCUGCUGCUGCCCCUUUGCCCAGGCCUGGGCUUUGCUUUGUCUCCUUGGAAACGAUUUCAGCCCAUCAUUUCUUUCUUCCUUGUUUCCAUUUUAUUUACAUCUCUUAAAACAAGUUUCCAUGGUCCUGAGGCUUCUCCCCUCCCUCCCCUCAAAUAAACUGCUUUCUUAGCCUUUGUUCUUGAGCAACUACCCUUGCUGGGGGUUUCUAUGCUUAUUAAGGUGUUGAGAUCUCUGCUAUUGGAAGUGAGUGAAUGAGAAGUUUAACGGUUCAUUGUCUGCUAAGUGCUGAACGCACCCUCCCUCAGCUUUGCUACAGUGAGGCACAAAAGAUCUGCACUCGCAACAGGUUUAGCUGUCCGGUUGUGAUGUGCAGGGUUCUUCUGAUGUCCCUAUCCACUUAUUCCUGAUACUUUCUAAGAAAGACAAAGUGUGUAAAGAGGUGUGUAUAAUUUAUAAGGUGUUCUCCAUAGAUAAGAAUAAAUAUCCUAUAUAAAUCACAUCCCUGCACAAGUCAGGAACCAUUUUCAACGCUGCAAAAUGCUGUGAAGCACAGACUGUCACUGUAGCAUGUUUCCAGCAGCGUGUUGCACGAAAAAUGUAUCUGCCACAAAAUGAAGAUAUCACCGUGUAUUUUUUGUAUAAAAUAAUUUAUUUUCUUUUUAAUAGCCUCUGUUGGCAUCAGCACUUGAUUUUCAGGGUUUUGGGGAGGCACCUAUUGAAAAUCAGAGAGCGGCUUGGGUUGGAAGGACCUCAAAGAUCAUGUAGUUCCAACCUCCUGCCAUGGGCAGGUUUGCCAGCCACUAGAGCAAGACAAAUUCUCCAAGUCAGGCAUCUGCAGAUGUGGAAACUCACAUUGUUUGUGUAUUCAACUAAUUUAACAAUUGUUUCUUUUAUAAAUACAAGUUCAAACGUGACUCAGAGCAAUCAAACUACUUCCAGAGCAUAUUAUUAGUAGUGAAGCUUCAGUCUCCUGAGCUUUAAUUAGGAAGACACCAGUGCAAGUUGUCACAAGAAUGCCAAAGUAGCUGUAAUGAGCGUGGCUGUCAUUUGUCACGGCCACAACUUCUCUGAACGGCGAGCAGUAGCGGAGCACAAAAUUACAGCUAACCAAGCAAUGGGGAGAGGCAAGAUGAUUCACAAGUACUAUCCCCAUACUCGGAGAUUAAUUGAGUGAAAGAUGCUCUUUGUGCAGCCUGAGUUAAUGAGUAUAACCAAUCAUUCCAGCGAAGCUCGUAAUGCACACGUCCUGAUUGCUUUCUAGGGAUGAAGGAAAUCUUGGACAUCUUUUGUUGUGCCACCACUUGUUAUCUGCUGCUAGCUGGUGUCGGGGGACUGAAAGACAAGAUAACUGACAUGCAGGUAAGGAAUUAGGCAUUUUGUAAUUAUGAGCAAUGCUACGUAAAUAAAUAACCCAGUGAACACUGAUGGCAUCUGUCAUUCCAUCAAGCAUAUCCAGACCAUGCAGGUAACUCAGAGUUGAAAGUUUUCUUUCUUAUUCCAGUGAUGAAAUGUGUAACAACUAUAACUCACGUUAGCAUUCUCCCUUUGAUAAGGCAAAACCUAUAGUCGACCUCCUCAAGAGUCUGGAAAGACUUCUGCUGCUUUCUAGUUGUGUUUAAAAGUAUAACUAGAGCAGCAGUUCUUUUACGGUCCAGUUGUUAAUCUUGUUUUCUGUCCUUCUUUGGUAAGGGAGCAAGGUGCAUGAGCCAGGGAGAGGAGACUGCUGUCCAGAUGUCACAGAGUGUUUGAGCUGGGGAUAGAAUGAAGGCAGAAAACUCCUAUAGGAUAGCAGCUCCAAAACGUUACAACAGUAGAAAUGUUGGUGCAUUCUAAGUAUGGGAGCAUUGCUUCCUGUCAUCCCCUUGUAAGAAAGAGGAAAUGGUGUGAGUCCUGGUAUUGGCUUUGGACCUCUCUGUCCUUGGAAUUACAGCACCGAGGAAGGGAGCGCCCAAGCCUGCCUGCAGGUAGGCAGUCCUGAAGGGUUCUUCCUUAUGUAUUACAGUAUCCUUGAUAGGGGAGGAGACUAUAUUGAUCUUAUGCUGUUCUAAGAGCACCUAUCAGUAAUUUUGACAGGUAUUAAAAGUGUUCGGUAUGUUAAGAAACAACUCUACAGAGCAAAGUUCACGAGGACUUUGGCAGAAAGUCCUUUGACGUCAGUGUCAGUGGUGGGCACUGCUUAGACUGUCUGAAGUUAAGGACUACAUCUGGUACCAAACGUGAGGGUUUUCUUUUUUAAAAAAUUUCUCCUUUUUUUUUUCCUUCCUCCCCCCCCCCCCACACACACACACUUUUCCCCUCCAGAUCGCAGGCAGGCUUCUUUCCCUCUUAGUAGGAGGUAGUACCCUUCCUUCAAAUGAAGGGGGAAGGCUUCUCUUAGAACUUAAGACAACAAAUCUAUGUAGGAUUGUGAGGAAAAACCCAUUUUCACAGCUCUGGGAAGAGAAUAAAAGGAAGUACAAAACAAACAGCUAUCAUUUCAUGAUGUGGUUGCGUGUCACAGAUGAAAUUUACACUAAUUAGAAAUCAUCUGGAGGCUGCACAGCAGAUUGAGUCUUCAGCUGGAAGUGCUCCGUGACAGGUGGCUUACCACAAAGCAACACCACAAUUACCUAACUGCUUGAUUUGUGAAAACUCUCAUAACUACUCACAUUGUUUAAUGAACUGUGCAGAUACUGACACCUCCCCACAGUAUGCUGUGCUCCUCAAUCAAAACGUUCAGUUUGUAAGUACAAAAAUUUGUAAGUUUGCAAGAAAGCUUAUAAGUUUGUAAGUUUGAAAGUUCGUUUCUAAGUUCAUAAGUUUGAAAGCUUGUUUGUGAGUUUGUUUGAAAGUUUGUAAAGAAAUUUGUAAGUAAAUUGGUAAGUAAAUUUGAAAGUAAGUAAGUUUGAAAGUAAAUUUCAAAAUUUGAAGGUUUGUAAGUAGAUUUCAAAGUUAGUAGGUAUGAAAGUUUGUAGGUUUCUUUGAAAGUUUGUAGCCUUGUUUGUCAGUUUGUAGGUUUGUUUGAAGUUUGGAAGUGUGCCUGUAAGUUUGAAUGUUUGUACAUUUGAAGUUUGGAAGUUUGAAGCUUGGAAGUUAGAAAGUUUGUAUGUUUGAUGUUUGAAAGACCUGAAGUUUGUAAGUUUGAAGCUGGUCUGUAAGUUUGAAAGUUUGAAGUUUGUAAGUGUCUGUACGUUUGUCUGUAAGUUUGAAAGCUUGACAGUUUGAAAGCUUGCCUGUAAGUUUGAAGUUUGAAAGUAAGUUCAAAUUUUCCAAGUUCCAGUUUUCUAAGUACAUUCUAAGUCCUAGGUGUCUAGGUUUGUAAGUAAGUUCUAAUUUUCUAAUUUCUAAGUUUCUAAGUGUCUAAGAUUCUGAGUAAGUCAUAAGUGUCUAAGUUGCUGAUUUCUUUGGUCUAAGAACAAGUGACAUGAUUUGCAGUAGUCGUAGUUAA
ensembl:lncRNA